rnacentral:tRNA from 1 species
AAAAAUUUAGUUAAAAUAUAACGUCAAUUUGUCAAAUUGAAAUUAAUCUAAAAGUUAAUUUUUU